rfam:Ictidomys tridecemlineatus contig028032, whole genome shotgun sequence.
GGGUUUGUAGCUCAGUGGUGGAGCGCUUGCCUCACAUGUAUGAGGCGCUGGGUUCGAUCCUCAGCACCA